rnacentral:lncRNA from 1 species
GCUCUGGUCUCUGGUCCUGGGCCGCCUCAUUGCCUACCGGGAGCUGUAGUUCGCGGUCCCAGACUACGGGGCGGAGAGGGAGCUCCCAGGGACGCCUGCGCAUGACGCAUACGGCGCCCGGCAAAGUGGCGGGGCGGGUGGCUCCCAGGAAACCCCGCGCGUGUGACAUUCGCGGCGCAGACUCGGGAAUACAGUGGCGAUCGGACGGGUGGGCCUGGGCAGCUCGGCCCGGGGCGUUCUAUUAUGUCUGUGUGACCGCCCUCUGGCAAAGAAGGCCACAUACUGGGGAGAGGACGGGGCCCAGAGAGAGCCCCUCACCUGACGGUGAAGUGGACGAGAGCGAACAACUGGAAGCUCUGCAGGCAGCAGCUGACAGGAGCUGGGCAUCAACUGCCCACCUGACGGUGGAGGAGUUAAACCCUUAGCAGCAGAACUGGGUGCCCAGACUGACCUUCCUUCAUCCCAAUGAGCCCCACCACUUCUCUAGAAGACCGAAUUGGAAUGCCUCCUUAUUUCAAGCUAACGGCCUUCAGUAAGCCAGAAGAAACAGCCUUGUCAAAUUGCAGUCUGUAAACAUAUAAUUUUAAACACAAUGAUAUACCUACUCCCCACGAUGAAUGUAACCACUAUGUACAGAAAAAGCAUACUAAUAAACAGAAAUAAAAACUAUGGUUCGGUUUUUUGGUGUUUGUUUGAGACAGAGUCUCACUGUGUAGUUGAAACUGACCUGGAAUUCACUAUGCAGUGCAGGCUGGCCUUGAACUCUCAGUGAUCCUCCAGCCUCAGCCUCCUGAGUGCUGGGAUUACAGGCGUGAGCCAC